rnacentral:rRNA from 1 species
AUACGGAGGGUGCAAGCGUUAUCCGGAUUCAUUGGGUUUAAAGGGUACGUAGGCGGAUAGAUAAGUUAGUGGUGAAAUCCCGAAGCUCAACUUCGGAACUGCCAUUAAAACUGUCUAUCUUGAAUUUGGUUGAAGUGGGCGGAAUAUGACAUGUAGCGGUGAAAUGCAUAGAUAUGUCAUGGAACACCGAUAGUGAAGACAGCUCACUAAGCCAAUAUUGACGCUGAGGUACGAAAGCAUGGGUAGCGAACAGAAUUAGAAACCCCAGUAGUCC